AUAAGUGGUCUCCUUUGUGCAUCUGUCCACCCAUCACUGCACAAACUUACACCUUUAGUGCUCCAUGUGCGCUUGAUUGGCUGGAGGCAUUGCUCAAUGUGACUCUUCUCUUGUUGUAGAAGAGUAGUUCUUAGUGCAUUGUAACCUGGUGGAACAUACCCUGGAAGUGUAGAAGCUCGAACAUAUGAGUUUCGAUAAUGCGGAUUUCUUGCAAGGUUAAAUGAUAAGCCACCUGUAUAAAACAUCCUUGCGACUUCAGCAUCACAUUGAUCUCGAGCUUCCUUGUUAAAAGUUUUACUAAGAGGCCCACUUGUUCCUUUUCUCUUCUUUGGAUCAAGAUUCACUUCAGGUUGAUCAUAACAAAAAGAACCAGUGUUGGGCAAAGAAACAUUCUUAGGAGCAGAACUCUUCAGCUUAUAUUCACACUCCCGAAUUAACUUUUUCAUUUCUGCAAGAUUUUCAUCAGUAACCUUGCUGCAAAGUGCGACCCCGUUUCCAGCCAUUUUUAACAAAUGAAACCUGACCCUAGAGUAUGAUCCUUUGAGUUGCAGACAGACGAAGGAGACGACGGAGCAGUUGUAGACGAAGAAGAGGGAGACGACGGCGCAGUUGCAGAUGGAGACGACGGGUCACGGAACAGUUGCAGAUGACGGUCAAUGGGGAUUCGUGAAAGUCUCCCAAGCAGAGUGAUUUCUGAGAGUUUCAAAUGUAUCCGAAAAGUAGGAUACACGUAUCUGGACAAUACGAUACGCGUAUCUCAUCAGUCCCAAACGUAUCCUUUCACUCCAAUACGUAUCGAACGCGUAUCCACGCGUAUCAUCCGCGUAUCCGUAUCCUCAGCGUGUCAGAUACGGGAUACGGUUGCUUUCUCGCGUGUCCAUGCAUCGUAGAAGUUUACGUACUUUGGUA